rnacentral:rRNA from 1 species
UACAGAGGUCUCAAGCGUUGUUCGGAUUCAUUGGGCGUAAAGGGUGCGUAGGCGGCGCGGUAAGUCGGGUGUGAAAUUUCGAGGCUUAACUUCGAAACUGCAUUCGAUACUGCCGUGCUAGAGGACUGGAGAGGGGACUGGAAUUUACGGUGUAGCGGUGAAAUGCGUAGAUAUCGUAAGGAAGACCAGUGGCGAAGGCGGGUCUCUGGACAGUUCCUGACGCUGAGGCACGAAGGCCAGGGGAGCAAACGGG